rnacentral:rRNA from 1 species
CGGGUAGUGCGGGGCACGCAGCCGGGUUAAUACGGAGGGUGCAAGCGGUAAUCGGAAGUACUGGGCGGAAGGCGCGCGUAGGUGGUUCGGUAAGUUGGAGGUGAAAUCCCCGGGCGCAACCUGGGAACUGCAUCCAAAACUGGCGAGCUAGAGGAGGGCAGAGGGUGGUGGAAUUUCCUGUGUAGCGGUGAAAUGCGUAGAUAUAGGAAGGAACACCAGUGGCGAAGGCGACCACCUGGGCUCAUACUGACACUGAGGUGCGAAAGCGUGGGGAGCAAACAGGAUUAGAUACCCGGUAGUC